GACUUAUUUGGUGCCCUCUAGUGGUGAAAAAAACGGGAUAUUUACCCUCAGUCUCUGUGGCAUCACCUGGUACAACCAGGGCUCUACUGAAGAAUCAAUUACCUUUCUUGCACAAAGAAAAGACAUGCAAAUCAAUCUUGACUUGAGCAGUGCUGCUUCAUCCUCUCAAUUCAAAACUGAAAUCAUGCUUCAAGACUUAGCACAAGCCCAUCUCCUCCAGGAAACCUUCCUUAACAAUCAAAGCAUUCUUCAGCCAUAAAGAAGGAAGUCUUGCCAUAUGUGACAACAUGGAUGAACAUUAAGAGCAUUAGGCAAGUGAAGUAAGUCAGAG